UACGUAGGUGGCAAGCGUUGUCCGGAAUUAUUGGGCGUAAAGCGCGCGCAGGCGGUCCUUUAAGUCUGAUGUGAAAGCCUACGGCUCAACCGUGGAGGGUCAUUGGAAACUGGGGGACUUGAGUACAGAAGAGAAGAGUGGAAUUCCACGUGUAGCGGUGAAAUGCGUAGAGAUGUGGAGGAACACCAGCGGCGAAGGCGACUCUUUGGUCUGUAACUGACGCUGAGGCGCGAAAGCGUGGGGAGCAAACAGG
rnacentral:rRNA from 1 species